AAGGAAUGAAUAAUCGAACUAAUACCGAACAAGAUAAUAAAGGCUUUCACUUAGAUUCUAGGGUACUAUGGUUCCAUUAAUAUUUACAUUAUCACAAUGAACAAGAGUACAAGACAACAAUGAGAUAGACAAAGAAAUUAUGACUUCACGUAUCUUAUUUGGCAUAAUUCAAACUUCAUAAUAUAAGGUUAAAUGUUACUGAAUCAAGGGACUGUUCCAGGACAGCUGUCCCAUAAAAAUGAUUUAGACAGUGUUAAGACAUACAGCUAUAGACAUGCUAUUGCAUGUACAAAUCUCACCAAAAAUUGAUAGAGAUACCCAUACAUUUAUCUUUAAAACUACAGCAAAAUCUUUACUGCCUACGUGAAUUAAGAGAAGCAACCACAGGUCCAAAUGUUUCAUCCACAGCUUUGUUCCACAUAAGUUCAAACUGCGAGCGAAAUUGCUUUCCAAAUAUGGGCUUUCUCAACUGAGAUUGGGCAUCGAAUUGAUUACAGUCAGCAGAAAUAGACUCGUAGAUGCGUUUCCUUUGCUCAAAAACAACAAAACCCAC
rnacentral:misc_RNA from 1 species